GACGAACGCUGGCGGCGUGCUUAACACAUGCAAGUCGAGCGGUAAGGCCCUUUCGGGGGUACACGAGCGGCGAACGGGUGAGUAACACGUGGGUGACCUGCCCUCAGCUCUGGGAUAAGCCUGGGAAACCGGGUCUAAUACUGGAUAUGACUCCAUGACGCAUGUUGUGGGGUGGAAAGCCUUGUGCGGCUGAGGAUGGGCCCGCGGCCUAUCAGCUUGUUGGUGGGGUGANGGCCUACCAAGGCGACGACGGGUAGCCGGCCUGAGAGGGCGACCGGCCACACUGGGACUGAGACACGGCCCAGACUCCGUACGGGAGGCAGCAGGUGGGGAAUCUUGCGCAAUGGGCGAAAGCCUGACGCAGCGACGCCGCGUGA
rnacentral:rRNA from 1 species